rnacentral:rRNA from 1 species
GAUGAACGCUGGCGGCGUGCCUAAUACAUGCAAGUCGAGCGAACAGACGAGGAGCUUGCUCCUCUGACGUUAGCGGCGGACGGGUGAGUAACACGUGGAUCACCUACCUAUAAGACUGGGAUAACUUCGGGAAACCGGAGCUAAUACCAGAUAAUAUAUUGAACCGCAUGGUUCAAUAGUGAAAGACGGUUUUGCUGUCACUUAUAGCUGGAUCCGCGCCGCAUUAGCUAGUUGGUAAGGUAACGGCUUACCAAGGCGACGAUGCGUAGCCGACCUGAGAGGGUGAUCGGCCACACUGGAACUGAGACACGGUCCAGACUCCUACGGGAGGCAGCAGUAGGGAAUCUUCCGCAAUGGGCGAAAGCCUGACGGAGCAACGCCGCGUGAGUGAUGAAGGUCUUCGGAUCGUAAAGCUCUGUUAUUGGGGAAGAACAGAUGUGGAAGUAACUAUGCACGUCUUGACGGUACCUAAUCAGAAAGCCACGGCUAACUACGUG